AGCGCAUACGGUGGAUGCCUUGGCAGUCAGAGGCGAUGAAAGACGUGGUAGCCUGCGAAAAGCUUCGGGGAGUCGGCAAACAGACUGUGAUCCGGAGAUGUCUGAAUGGGGGAACCCAGCCAUCAUAAGAUGGUUAUCUUGUACUGAAUACAUAGGUGCAAGAGGCGAACCAGGGGAACUGAAACAUCUAAGUACCCUGAGGAAAAGAAAUCAACCGAGAUUCCCUUAGUAGUGGCGAGCGAACGGGGACCAGCCCUUAAGUUGUAUUGAGAUUAGCGGAACGUUCUGGAAAGGACGGCCAUAGUGGGUGAUAGCCCUGUACGCGAAAAUCCCUUUGCAAUGAAAUCGAGUAGGACGGGGCACGAGAAACCUUGUCUGAAUAUGGGGGGACCAUCCUCCAAGGCUAAAUACUACUGACUGACCGAUAGUGAACCAGUACCGUGAGGGAAAGGCGAAAAGAACCGCGGAGAGCGGAGUGAAAUAGAUCCUGAAACCGUAUGCGUACAAGCAGUGGGAGCCCACUUUGUUGGGUGACUGCGUACCUUUUGUAUAAUGGGUCAGCGACUUAUUUUCAGUGGCGAGCUUAACCGAAUAGGGGAGGCGUAGCGAAAGCGAGUCUUAAUAGGGCGUCUAGUCGCUGGGAAUAGACCCGAAACCGGGCGAUCUAUCCAUGGGCAGGUUGAAGGUUGGGUAACACUAACUGGAGGACCGAACCGACUACCGUUGAAAAGUUAGCGGAUGACCUGUGGAUCGGAGUGAAAGGCUAAUCAAGCUCGGAGAUAGCUGGUUCUCCUCGAAAGCUAUUUAGGUAGCGCCUCAUGUAUCACUGUAGGGGGUAGAGCACUGUUUCGGCUAGGGGGUCAUCCCGACUUACCAAACCGAUGCAAACUCCGAAUACCUACAAGUGCCGAGCAUGGGAGACACACGGCGGGUGCUAACGUCCGUCGUGAAAAGGGAAACAACCCAGACCGUCAGCUAAGGUCCCAAAGUCAUGGUUAAGUGGGAAACGAUGUGGGAAGGCUUAGACAGCUAGGAGGUUGGCUUAGAAGCAGCCACCCUUUAAAGAAAGCGUAAUAGCUCACUAGUCGAGUCGGCCUGCGCGGAAGAUGUAACGGGGCUCAAACCAUGCACCGAAGCUACGGGUAUCAUCUUUUGAUGAUGCGGUAGAGGAGCGUUCUGUAAGCCUGUGAAGGUGAGUUGAGAAGCUUGCUGGAGGUAUCAGAAGUGCGAAUGCUGACAUGAGUAACGACAAUGGGUGUGAAAAACACCCACGCCGAAAGACCAAGGUUUCCUGCGCAACGUUAAUCGACGCAGGGUUAGUCGGCCCCUAAGGCGAGGCUGAAAAGCGUAGUCGAUGGAAAACAGGUUAAUAUUCCUGUACUUCUGGUUAUUGCGAUGGAGGGACGGAGAAGGCUAGGCCAGCCUGGCGUUGGUUGUCCAGGUUUAAGGUGGUAGGCUGAGAUCUUAGGUAAAUCCGGGAUUUCAAGGCCGAGAGCUGAUGACGAGUGUUCUUUAGAACACGAAGUGGUUGAUGCCAUGCUUCCAAGAAAAGCUUCUAAGCUUCAGGUAACCAGGAACCGUACCCCAAACCGACACAGGUGGUUGGGUAGAGAAUACCAAGGCGCUUGAGAGAACUCGGGUGAAGGAACUAGGCAAAAUGGCACCGUAACUUCGGGAGAAGGUGCGCCGGUGAGGGUGAAGCAUUUACUGCGUAAGCCCACGCCGGUCGAAGAUACCAGGCCGCUGCGACUGUUUAUUAAAAACACAGCACUCUGCAAACACGAAAGUGGACGUAUAGGGUGUGACGCCUGCCCGGUGCCGGAAGGUUAAUUGAUGGGGUUAGCGCAAGCGAAGCUCUUGAUCGAAGCCCCGGUAAACGGCGGCCGUAACUAUAACGGUCCUAAGGUAGCGAAAUUCCUUGUCGGGUAAGUUCCGACCUGCACGAAUGGCGUAACGAUGGCGGCGCUGUCUCCACCCGAGACUCAGUGAAAUUGAAAUCGCUGUGAAGAUGCAGUGUAUCCGCGGCUAGACGGAAAGACCCCGUGAACCUUUACUAUAGCUUUGCACUGGACUUUGAAUUUGCUUGUGUAGGAUAGGUGGGAGGCUUUGAAGCGUGGACGCCAGUCUGCGUGGAGCCAACCUUGAAAUACCACCCUGGCAACUUUGAGGUUCUAACUCAGGUCCGUUAUCCGGAUCGAGGACAGUGUAUGGUGGGUAGUUUGACUGGGGCGGUCUCCUCCUAAAGAGUAACGGAGGAGUACGAAGGUGCGCUCAGACCGGUCGGAAAUCGGUCGUAGAGUAUAAAGGCAAAAGCGCGCUUGACUGCGAGACAGACACGUCGAGCAGGUACGAAAGUAGGUCUUAGUGAUCCGGUGGUUCUGUAUGGAAGGGCCAUCGCUCAACGGAUAAAAGGUACUCCGGGGAUAACAGGCUGAUACCGCCCAAGAGUUCAUAUCGACGGCGGUGUUUGGCACCUCGAUGUCGGCUCAUCACAUCCUGGGGCUGAAGCCGGUCCCAAGGGUAUGGCUGUUCGCCAUUUAAAGUGGUACGCGAGCUGGGUUUAGAACGUCGUGAGACAGUUCGGUCCCUAUCUGCCGUGGACGUUUGAGAUUUGAGAGGGGCUGCUCCUAGUACGAGAGGACCGGAGUGGACGAACCUCUGGUGUUCCGGUUGUCACGCCAGUGGCAUUGCCGGGUAGCUAUGUUCGGAAAAGAUAACCGCUGAAAGCAUCUAAGCGGGAAACUUGCCUCAAGAUGAGAUCUCACUGGAACCUUGA
rnacentral:rRNA from 3 species